rnacentral:lncRNA from 1 species
AGUUCUCAGGCGAGAGCCGCGGCUGACAGGGUCUGGGACAGAAGGAAAGCCCUCCAGCCUCCAGGCCCUGCCUUCUGCCUGCACAUUCUGCCCUGAUUUCCGGAACCUGGAAGCCUAGGCAGGCAGUGGGGAACUCUGACUCGCCUGUGCUCUGGAGCUUGAUCCGAAAGCUUCCACAGUGAGGACUGCUCCGUGGGGGUAAGAGAGCACCAGGCACUGAGGCCUGGGAGUUCCACAGACCAACACCCCUGCUCCUGGCGGCUCCCACCCGGGACUUAGACCCUCAGGUCCCUAAUAUCCCGGAGGUGCUCUCAAUCAGAAAGGUCCUGCUCCGCUUCGCAGUGGAAUGGAACGGAUUUAGAAGCCUGCAGUAGGGGAGUGGGGAGUGGAGAGAGGGAGCCCAGAGUUACAGACGGCGGCGAGAGGAAGGAGGGGCGUCUUUAUUUUUUUAAGGCCCCAAAGAGUCUGAUGUUUACAAGACCAGAAAUGCCACGGCCGCGUCCUGGCAGAGAAAAGGCUGAAAUGGAGGACCGGCGCCUUCCUUAUAAGUAUGCACAUUGGCGAGAGAAGUGCUGCAACCUAAACCAGCAAUUACACCCAAGCUCGUUGGGGCCUAAGCCAGUACCGACCUGGUAGAAAAAGCAACCACGAAGCUAGAGAGAGAGCCAGAGGAGGGAAGAGAGCGCCAGACGAAGGUGAAAGCGAACCACGCAGAGAAAUGCAGGCAAGGGAGCAAGGCGGCAGUUCCCGGAACAAACGUGGCAGAGGGCAAGACGGGCACUCACAGACAGAGGUUUAUGUAUUUUUAUUUUUUAAAAUCUGAUUUGGUGUUCCAUGAGGAAAAGGGAAAAUCUAGGGAACGGGAGUACAGAGAGAAUAAUCCGGGUCCUAGCUCGCCACAUGAACGCCCAGAGAACGCUGGAAAAACCUGAGCGGGUGCCGGGGCAGCACCCGGCUCGGGUCAGCCACUGCCCCACACCGGGCCCACCAAGCCCCGCCCCUCGCGGCCACCGGGGCUUCCUUGCUCUUCUUAUCAUCUCCAUCUUUAUGAUGAGGCUUGUUAACAAGACCAGAGAGCUGGCCAAGCACCUCUAUCUCAGCCGCGCCCGCUCAGCCGAGCAGCGGUCGGUGGGGGGACUGGGAGGCGCUAAUUAAUUGAUUCCUUUGGACUGUAAAAUAUGGCGGCGUCUACACGGAACCCAUGGACUCAUAAACAAUAUAUCUGUUGGGCGUGAGUGCACUGUCUCUCAAAUAAUUUUUCCAUAGGCAAAUGUCAGAGGGUUCUGGAUUUUUAGUUGCUAAGGAAAGAUCCAAAUGGGACCAAUUUUAGGAGGCCCAAACAGAGUCCGUUCAGUGUCAGAAAAUGCUUCCCCAAAGGGGUUGGGAGUGUGUUUUGUUGGAAAAAAGCUUGGGUUAUAGGAAAGCCUUUCCCUGCUACUUGUGUAGACCCAGCCCAAUUUAAGAAUUACAAGGAAGCGAAGGGGUUGUGUAGGCCGGAAGCCUCUCUGUCCCGGCUGGAUGCAGGGGACUUGAGCUGCUCCGGAAUUUGAGAGGAACAUAGAAGCAAAGGUCCAGCCUUUGCUUCGUGCUGAUUCCUAGACUUAAGAUUCAAAAACAAAUUUUUAAAAGUGAAACCAGCCCUAGCCUUUGGAAGCUCUUGAAGGUUCAGCACCCACCCAGGAAUCCACCUGCCUGUUACACGCCUCUCCAAGACACAGUGGCACCGCUUUUCUAACUGGCAGCACAGAGCAACUCUAUAAUAUGCUUAUAUUAGGUCUAGAAGAAUGCAUCUUGAGACACAUGGGUAACCUAAUUAUAUAAUGCUUGUUCCAUACAGGAGUGAUUAUGCAGUGGGACCCUGCUGCAAACGGGACUUUGCACUCUAAAUAUAGACCCCAGCUUGGGACAAAAGUUGCAGUAGAAAAAUAGACAUAGGAGAACACUUAAAUAAGUGAUGCAUGUAGACACAGAAGGGGUAUUUAAAAGACAGAAAUAAUAGAAGUACAGAAGAACAGAAAAAAAAUCAGCAGAUGGAGAUUACCAUUCCCAAUGCCUGAACUUCCUCCUGCUAUUAAGAUUGCUAGAGAAUUGUGUCUUAAACAGUUCAUGAACCCAGAAGAAUGCAAUUUCAAUGUAUUUAGUACACACACAGUAUGUAUAUAAACACAACUCACAGAAUAUAUUUUCCAUACAUUGGGUAGGUAUGCACUUUGUGUAUAUAUAAUAAUGUAUUUUCCAUGCAGUUUUAAAAUGUAGAUAUAUUAAUAUCUGGAUGCAUUUUCUGUGCACUGGUUUUAUAUGCCUUAUGGAGUAUAUACUCACAUGUAGCUAAAUAGACUCAGGACUGCACAUUCCUUGUGUAGGUUGUGUGUGUGUGGUGGUUUUAUGCAUAAAUAAAGUUUUACAUGUGGUGAA